CGCAGACUGUCGCGUCGGCUCGAAAGGCCGAUGAGGAAAGUCCGGGCACCAUAGGGCUGGUUGCUGGGUAAUUCCCAGUGCGCGUGAGCGUGAGGAUAGUGCCACAGAAAUGAAAACCGCCGCAGCAAUGCGGUAAGGGUGCAACGGUGCGGUAAGAGCGUCACCAGCAAGGUCGAGAGGCCUUGGCUAGGUAAACCCCGCUGAAGGUGCAAGGCGAAGGUAUAACUUGAGGUUAUGGUGGCCCGCCAUCUCAAGUUGCUGAUGCCGCUAGAGGGUGUAGGAGACUGCACUCCCAGAUAGAUGACAGUCGAACACAGAACCCGGCUUACGCGCUACUUC
rnacentral:RNase_P_RNA from 1 species